UACGUAGGGUGCAAGCGUUGUCCGGAAUUAUUGGGCGUAAAGGGCUCGUAGGCGGUCCGUCACGUCGGGAGUGAAAACUUGGGGCUUAACCCCAAGCCUGCUUCCGAUACGGGCGGACUAGAGGUAGGCAGGGGAGAACGGAAUUCCUGGUGUAGCGGUGAAAUGCGUAGAUAUCUGGAGGAACACCGGUGGCGAAGGCGGCAUCCUGGACCGAUACUGACGCUGAGGAGCGAAAGCCAGGGGAGCAAACGGG
rnacentral:rRNA from 1 species